GAUAAACGCUGGCGGCGUGCCUUAUGCAUGCAAGUCGAACGAGACCAAGGCUUCGGCCUGAAGUCUAGUGGCGGACGGGUGAGUAACACGUACGUGACCUGUCCGGAAGUGGGGAAUAACCAGCCGAAAGGUUGGCUAAUACCGCAUGUGGUUACUGCUUGGAAGCAGCAAACCAAAGUUGCAAGACGCUUCCGGAGGGGCGUGCGGCCGAUUAGCUAGUUGGUGUGGUAACGGCGCACCAAGGCAUUGAUCGGUAGCUGGUCUGAGAGGAUGGUCAGCCACACUGGGACUGAGACACGGCCCAGACUCCUACGGGAGGCAGCAGCAGGGAAUUUUGCGCAAUGGGCGAAGGCCUGACGCAGCAACGCCGCGUGAGGGAUGAAGGCUCUUGGGUCGUAAACCUCUUUUGCCGGGGAAGAUAAUGACGGUACCCGGCGAAUAAGCCACGGCUAACUACGUGCCAGCAGCCGCGGUAAUACGUAGGUGGCAAGCGUUGUCCGGU
rnacentral:rRNA from 1 species